UACGUAGGCAGCGAGCGUUGUUCGGAGUUACUGGGCGUAAAGAGUGCGUAGGCGGUUUUCUAAGUUUGGUGUGAAAUCUCCCGGCUCAACUGGGAGGGUGCGCCGAAGACUGGAAGGCUAGAGUAUGGGAGAGGUAAGCGGAAUUCCUGGUGUAGCGGUGAAAUGCGUAGAUAUUUGGAGGAACACCAGUGGCGAAAGCGACUUUCUGGGACAUUUCUGACGCUGAGGAACGAAAGCUCGGGGAGCAAACAGG
rnacentral:rRNA from 1 species